CCCGACCUUGGUGUAAAGCUUUCCGUGCAGCGUUUGUUUCCCUCCGUUUCUAUGGGUUUUUGGUUCGGUUUCGGUUUGGAGUUAGGGUGGAAUUGCGUUUUCGGAUCUUUCUUAUUAGAUCUAUUGAAAUAGUGAUUGAUAUCAGUUGAAUCUCGGAUUUUGUGUUUCGUAGGUAAAUUGUUCUUGGAAUGGGCGGUGAUCUUGUGAUUCUGUUGUCGUCGAUCCGUUGUGAUGAUGAUCAUACAUUUAACUCUGUUUCACAUUUUUCUGAUUAGAUUUAUCGAAAUAGUGAUACAAAUCGGUUGAAUCUCGGAUUUUGUGUUUCCUAGGUAGAUUGUUCUUGGAAUGGACGGUGAUCUUGUGAUUCUGUUGCCGUUGAUCCGUUGUGACGAGGGUAGGACAUCUAACUCUAUUAAAUCGAUCUGUUUUGAUUCUUAUUCUUCUCGGGUUUUGGUACCGUUCAAUUUUGAACAUAAUGAGUACUGGCUCUCUUUUCAGUUAAUUAUGUUGUGCGGAUGGACCGACGGUUCUUUUGGGUUCCCUUCCUUUGCUACGAGUUCUAUAUUUCUUGUUUUAUUUUGGAACUUUGGAAGAUAUUUCAAUAUACGGUUUCUGCCUGCGUUGUUGUUGCCGGCUUUCCUAAUCCUUGAACUUCCUUAUUGCCGUGAUCGCCGCUAUUACUAGGAAUGCAUCUCUUUCCACGUUGUGAAUAAUUUUUGUCUUUUGAAGUUAAUUAGUAAUACGUCAGGAGAUAAAAGAUUAUUAGUAUCUUUUUGUGAAUGCAGUUAGAAAGAAGAGAUGAGUAGAUGGUCUAUGGCCAUGGCCUGAAGAAGAAAUGACAAGGAUGAAAGAUUUGGAAGAAAUGACAAAGGAUGAAAGAUUUGGAAGCUGUGGGUGGUAAGGGGGUCUUGUAAAAGCUUACCCUUGCACUUUUAUAUCUCCACCUACCUUCAUUUUACACUGAGAUUGUUUCAAUUUAAAAUUUGGUGUUGGUGAUUUUAGAUUGGUGGUCUAGGAGGUAUUGAUUGGAUCUCUUGGUUUAUAAGACUUCCAUGGGUUUGGAUUUCUGUCUCAACUUUCAAGGAGAUUUGCUUCCUGUUCAUAUAUCUCUAAAAUACUUGAUUUUGGGGGAUCUUGUAUUGGUACUGGGCAUGAUAUGACCUUUGACCCUUUUUUUUUUCAUUCAGAUGCUGUUUGGGUUAAUUAAAAGGACAAGGAUAAAGGAUCUUGCAGCAGUUCGAUUUUCUUUGGACCUCCAUCUUGCUUGAUAAUGGGUUUUAUGUGCAAUGGUUCUUGGCUGGCCGGUCUAUAAUGGGGAAAAUUUUUAAGUCUUCAUUUUCUUCUCUUGUGUUCUUUUUCAUUCUUUGCAGGAACUUCACUAUCAACCUUUUUCUGUUUAUCAAUUUCUCUUGUUUUUUGGCUUGACACAUGGUUUGUAGGUUGAUGUUGACAACAGUAAUCUUGGAAAUUCUACCAUCAGCACAUAAGACAAAAGUCUACACACUGAUUUCAAGAAGAUUUUGCUUCCUGGUUUUUCAUAUCUCUCAAAACUACUUGAUUUUGGAGAAUCUUGUACAGGUUUGCAUGGUAGUUUAUUAGGUUUGGAAAGAUUCUGGUGAUCACUUUCUAGUUUUGAAAGAUUGUGAAUGUCCUUGCUAGUUGGGACAAUGGUUUUAUGCAGACAUUUUUCUUGCGUUUGUGAUUGAUAGCUAUAUAUGUGCAUUUGUAAUUGUAGGUUGCAGAAGAUACGUUUCUGGUUUUUCAAGCUCUGCCACUGGUUUAUUUGUCAUUUGUGCUUUCAUUUCAUGGAUUUGUGAGGUUUUCUUUUACCUGGUUUAUUUAAAUGUCUGAAACAUAUUAGUUAGAGAAGAUUUCAAAUUGAAGGGAUUUCAUUUAACUGAAAAGAUGCCGUAGGGUUAGCAUAAAUGCGAUACUUUGGAUGUCAACUUUAUAUGAUUAUGUUUUUCGGUUGUGAGUUUGAGUUCUUAUUGUGGGAUUUAUAGGGAUCUGUUUUUCGGUUGCAGAGAUUCAUUAGAGUUUACAAGUUCUGUCAGCUGAGAUUUUACUUUUCUCGUGGUUCUCAGUGUCUGAUUCGGAUCUUUGCAUUGUUUGGAAGUUGAUAUUUUUUUAAAGCCUAGGCAGCUGAAAUGAAGCAUGUUGUUAGAAAUUGUAUUUAUAUACUUUUUUCUUUUUAAUGUUUGAGCAAGUUCUUGCUAAUUUAGUUGGCACGAGGUAAAUGUGUGGAAGAUGUGGCCCAUCAAGGACUUCAAAUUGGUUGAGCUUUUGUUUGACCUUCAUCUUUUUUUUUGAAAGCUUGUCCUUAAUAUCUGUUCGCUUGAUGUUGGCUUUCAUGUGCAGUGGUACGUUGGCUGGCCAUCCUGGUGGAGAAAAUUGAUAAGUCUUCAUUUCUUGCUAUUGGAUUGUUUUUAACUGUUGCAGGAUCUUUCACUUUCAGCUUUUUGUUUUUUUUCAAAAAGUGGUUGUUUGGCCUUUGUAUUAUUUGUUUUUAGGUUACCAUCUUGUUCCUUGGUUUUUGGUUUAUCUUGACUCUUUGUUUUUAUAGGCUGUUGUUAAAAACUUCAGGUAUGGAGAUUCUACCUUAAGCACAUAUGGUCACAUAUGCCUUUUUCCACACUUGUUUCAGGGCCUCUUAGUUUUUAAUGCUUUUAGUAUCUAUUAUGGUUUUGUUUGAUCUGGGUCUCCUGGAUUUUCAAUUUUUGAAUAUGGUUUCAACUCUCAAGGAGAUUUGCUUCCUGGUUCUCAUUGUAUUUCUUUAUAGUCUUCUGUGUUCAAGCUUUUAGGAUCCUGUGGAGUUAUGUUACUGAAUAUGAUAUGAGUUUAUUGACUCUAUUUUUUUUUAUUCUAUUUUUAACACAUAACACGGAAUUUAUAAUAUGGUUACAUAUGUUUUUUUAAGAUAUUAUUCCACCCUUGUUUGAGGGCCUCUUAGUUUUAAUGCUUUCAGUAUUUUAUUAUAUUUAAAUAUAUGGUUUCUGCUUGCAGUGAUGUUGCUGGCUUUCCUUUUCUAAAGUGCUGAUACCUAACCUUCCUCAUGGCCGUGAUCACCCAACUCUAUCUUUUUAUUGAGUUCAAGGUUUUGACAAAAGUUUUGUGAUGUUGCUGGCUUUACUUUUCUAAGGUGCUGAUUCUUGGACUUCUUCAUGGCUGUGAUCGCCACUAUUACUAGGAAUGUUUCUCGUUCAGUGUUGUGAAUGAUGCAUGUUUGGGGUUAUCAAUUUCCAGAAUUAUUAUGAAGACGGACAUGGAUGAAGGUUUCUCAUUGUUCUACUUUUUUCUUUUUGUUCUUUUUUU